GUGCCAGCAGCCGCGGUAAUUCCAGCUCCAAUAGCGUAUAUUAAAGUUGUUGUGGUUAAAAAGCUCGUAGUUGAACCUUGGGCCUGGCUGGCCGGUCCGCCUCACCGCGUGCACUGGUCCGGCCGGGCCUUUCCCUCUGUGGAACCCCAUACCCUUCACUGGGCGUGGCGGGGAAACAGGACAUUUACUUUGAAAAAAUUAGAGUGCUCCAGGCAGGCCUAUGCUCGAAUACAUUAGCAUGGAAUAAUAAAAUAGGACGCGCGGUUCUAUUUUGUUGGUUUAUAGGACCGCCGUAAUGAUUAAUAGGGACAGUCGGGGGCAUCAGUAUUCAACUGUCAGAGGUGAAAUUCUUGGAUCAGUUGAAGACAAACUACUGCGAAAGCAUUUGCCAAGGAUGUUUUCAUUAAUCAGGAACGAAAGUUAGGGGAUCGAAGACGAUCAGAUACCGUCGUAGUCUUAACCAUAAACUAUGCCGACUAGGGAUCGGACGGUGUUAUUCAUGACCCGUUCGGCACCUUACGAGAAAUCAAAGUGCUUGGGCUCCAGGGGGAGUAUGGGUCGCAAGGCUGAAACUUAAAGAAAUUGACGGAAGGGCACCACCAGGGGUGGAGCCUGCGCCUUAAUUUGACUCAACACGGGGCAAACUCAUCAGGUCUCAGACACAAUAAGGAUUGACAGAUUGAGAGCUCUUUUCUUGAUUUUGUGGGUGGUGUGCAUGGCCGAUCUUAGUUGGUGGGGUGACUUUGUCUGCUUUAAUUGCGAUAACGAACGAGACCUUUAAAUCUGCUAAAUAGCCCGCAUUGGCUUCGGCAGU
rnacentral:rRNA from 1 species